rnacentral:rRNA from 1 species
CAGCGUCACAAGUGGCAAUCGCAUUUAUUGGGUCUAAAGCGCCCGUAGCUGGUUUAGUUAGUUCUUUGUGAAAUCAUUAAUGUCAACUUAAUGGCGUGCAAAGAAUACUAAUUAGACUUGGGACUGGGAGAAGUCAAAGGAAUUCCUUGGGAAGCGGUAAAAUGUUAUAAUCCUAGGAGGACCACCAAUGGCGAAAGCAUUUGACUAGAACAGCUCCGACGGUGAGGGACGAAAGCUAGGGGAUCAAACCGGAUUAGAUACCCGAGUAGUCC